rnacentral:rRNA from 1 species
AUUGAACGCUGGCGGCAGGCCUAACACAUGCAAGUCGAGCGGAUGAAGGGAGCUUGCUCCUGGAUUCAGCGGCGGACGGGUGAGUAAUGCCUAGGAAUCUGCCUGGUAGUGGGGGAUAACGUCCGGAAACGGGCGCUAAUACCGCAUACGUCCUGAGGGAGAAAGUGGGGGAUCUUCGGACCUCACGCUAUCAGAUGAGCCUAGGUCGGAUUAGCUAGUUGGUGGGGUAAAGGCCUACCAAGGCGACGAUCCGUAACUGGUCUGAGAGGAUGAUCAGUCACACUGGAACUGGGACACGGUCCAGACUCCUACGGGAGGCAGCAGUGGGGAAUAUUGGACAAUGGGCGGAAACCUGAUCCAGCCAUGCCGCGUGUGUGAAGAAGGUCUUCGGAUUGUAAAGCACUUUAAGUUGGGAGGAAGGGCAGUAAGUUAAUACCUUGCUGUUUUGACGUUACCAACAGAAUAAGCACCGGCUAACUUCGUG